UGCAGACUCGCCCCCAGAGCGGGGCAUGCGGCCCAAAGAGGGCGCCUACUAUGUGUGGACGGUCAAAGAGGUUCAGCAGCUCCUCCCGGAGCCUGUGCUGGGUGCCACCGAGCCGCUGACCUCAGGCCAGCUCCUGAUGAAGCACUACGGCCUCACGGAGGCUGGUAACAUCAGCCCCAGUCAGGACCCCAAGGGGGAGCUGCAGGGCCAGAAUGUGCUGACCGUCCGGUACUCGCUGGAGCUGACUGCUGCCCGCUUUGGCUUGGAUGUGGAGGCCGUGCGGACCUUGCUUAAUACAGGGCUGGAGAAGCUCUUCCAGGCCCGGAAGCAUCGGCCCAAGCCACACCUGGACAGCAAGAUGCUGGCUGCCUGGAAUGGCUUGAUGGUGUCAGGCUAUGCUGUGACUGGGGCUGUCCUGGGCCAAGACAGGCUGAUCAACUAUGCCACCAAUGGUGCCAAGUUCCUGAAGCGGCACAUGUUUGAUGUGGCCAGUGGCCGCCUGAUGCGGACCUGCUACACCGGCUCUGGGGGGACUGUGGAGCACAGGUUGGGGGCUGGGUAGACCGGGAGGGCUCGUCUCCCCACGCGUCCCCAGCCUACCUCUGCCCUACUUCUCCCCUCCAUGUGGACUCCAGUCCUGGCUUUGCCAGGUGCUUUCUGUGAGUUUGUAGCCUCCCUGGGCCCGUUUACUCAUCUGGGAAGUGGGCUGAUGGCACCUGCCCAAGAGGGUUUAUAUGGAGGGUUAAGUGAACAAAUGCGUGAAAGGGUCUCCUCUGGGAAAGGCCCACUCUCCUGGGACUCUCCC
rnacentral:sRNA from 1 species